GUUGGUGUAGUAUAAUAUAAUACAUCUGUUUUAAGCGCAGAAGCUUUAUCUCCAACU
rnacentral:tRNA from 1 species